AUUGAACGCUGGCGGCAUGCCUUACACAUGCAAGUCGAACGGCAGCACGGGAGCAAUCCUGGUGGCGAGUGGCGAACGGGUGAGUAAUAUAUCGGAACGUGCCCAGUCGUGGGGGAUAACGUAGCGAAAGCUACGCUAAUACCGCAUACGAUCUAUGGAUGAAAGCGGGGGAUCGCAAGACCUCGCGCGAUUGGAGCGGCCGAUAUCAGAUUAGGUAGUUGGUGAGGUAAAGGCUCACCAAGCCGACGAUCUGUAGCUGGUCUGAGAGGACGACCAGCCACACUGGGACUGAGACACGGCCCAGACUCCUACGGGAGGCAGCAGUGGGGGAAUUUUUGGGACAAUGGGCGCAAGCCUGAUCCAGCAAUGCCGCGUGCAGGAUGAAGGCCUCGGUUGUAACGU
rnacentral:rRNA from 1 species